CCCGGUGGUUUUGGCGGGGAGCUUCCACCCGAUCCCAUCCCGAACUCGGUCGUUAAAUUCCCCAGCGCUGAUGGUACUGCGUCUUAAGGCAUGGGAGAGUAAGUCGCUGCCAGGC
rnacentral:rRNA from 1 species